ACUCCUACGGGAGGCAGCAGUGGGGAAUCUUGGACAAUGGGCGCAAGCCUGAUCCAGCCAUGCCGCGUGAGUGAUGAAGGCCCUAGGGUCGUAAAGCUCUUUCGCCAGGGAUGAUAAUGACAGUACCUGGUAAAGAAACCCCGGCUAACUCCGUGCCAGCAGCCGCGGUAAUACGGAGGGGGUUAGCGUUGUUCGGAAUUACUGGGGCGUAAAGCGCGCGUAGGCGGACUGGAAAGUUGGGGGUGAAAUCCCGGGGGCUCAACCUCGGAACUGCCUCCAAAACUCCCAGUCUUGAGUUCGAGAGAGGUGAGUGGAAUUCCGAGUGUAGAGGUGAAAUUCGUAGAUAUUCGGAGGAACACCAGUGGCGAAGGCGGCUCACUGGCUCGAUACUGACGCUGAGGUGCGAAAGUGUGGGGAGCAAACAGGAUUAGAUACCCUGGUAGGAUAGCG
rnacentral:rRNA from 1 species